rnacentral:rRNA from 1 species
GUGGGGAAUAUUGCACAAUGGGCGAAAGCCUGAUGCAGCGACGCCGCGUGGGGGAUGACGGCCUUCGGGUUGUAAACCUCUUUCAGCAAGGAAGAAGCGAAAGUGACGGUACUUGCAGAAGAAGCGCCGGCUAACUACGUGCCAGCAGCCGCGGUAAUACGUAGGGCGCAAGCGUUGUCCGGAAUUAUUGGGCGUAAAGAGCUUGUAGGUGGCUAGUCGCGUCUGCCGUGAAAACCCAGGGCUUAACCCUGGGCGUGCGGUGGGUACGGGCUGGCUAGAGUGUGGUAGGGGAGACUGGAAUUCCUGGUGUAGCGGUGAAAUGCGCAGAUAUCAGGAGGAACACCGAUGGCGAAGGCAGGUCUCUGGGCCAUUACUGACACUGAGAAGCGAAAGCAUGGGGAGCGAACAGGAUUAGAAACCCUAGUAGUCC